rnacentral:rRNA from 1 species
CCUAACACAUGCAAGUCGAGCGAGACCUUCGGGUCUAGCGGCGGACGGGUUAGUAACGCGUGGGAAUGUACCCUUCACUCGGAAUAGCCACUGGAAACGGUGAGUAAUACCGCAUACGCCCCUUCGGGGGAAAGAUUUAUCGGUGAAGGAUCAGCCCGCGUCUGAUUAGAUAGUUAGUGGGGUAACGGCCUACCAAGUCGACGAUCAGUAGCUGGUUUUAGAGGAUGAUCAGCAACACUGGGACUGAGACACGGCCCAGACUCCUACGGGAGGCAGCAGUGGGGAAUCUUAGACAAUGGGCGCAAGCCUGAUCUAGCCAUGCCGCGUGUGUGAUGAAGGCCCUAGGGUCGUAAAGCUCUUUCGCCAGGGAUGAUAAUGACAGUACCUGGUAAAGAAACCCCGGCUAACUCCGUG